rnacentral:rRNA from 1 species
UAAAACGUAGGAGCCAAGCGUUAUCCGAAUUCACUGGGCGUAAAGCGUGUGCAGGCGGACUGAUAAGUUGGAUGUGAAAUCUCCUGGCUCAACUGGGAGAGGCCGUUCAAUACUGUCAGACUAGAGGGCAAUAGAGGGAGGCGGAAUUCCCGGUGUAGUGGUGAAAUGCGUAGAUAUCGGGAGGAACACCAGUGGCGAAAGCGGCCUUCUGGAUUGCAUCUGACGCUCAGACACGAAAGCUAGGGGAGCGAACGGG